rnacentral:rRNA from 1 species
CUCCUUUUUUGUUCACUACACUGAUCCAGACAACGAGCUCACGCUUAUGCGUCCUGGAUUGAAAAGUCUGGGUAAUCUUUGAAGCCUGGAUCGUGAUGGGGAUAGAUGAUUGCAAUUAUUCGCCUUGAACGAGGAAUGUCCCGUAGGCGCGUUUCAUCAGAACGCACCGAUUAUGUCCCUGCCAUUUGUACACACCGCCCGUCGUUGCUACCGAUGGUUUACUGAUGGAACCAUUUGGAGUGGUCCUUUCGUUGCUUCGGUUUCGACUGCGGCCGCAAAAUUUGGUGAUAUUUGUAAACUAGAGGAAGCAAAAGUCGUAACA